UCCGGUUGAUCCUGCCGGACCCGACCGCUAUCGGGGUAGGGCUAAGCCAUGGGAGUCUUACAUCCCCGGGUAAGGGGAUGUGGCGGACGGCUGAGUAACACGUGGCUAACCUACCCUCGGGAGGGGGAUAACCCCGGGAAACUGGGGAUAAUCCCCCAUAGGGGAGGAGUCCUGGAACGGUUCCUCUCCGAAAGGGAUAUAGGCUAUUUCCGCUUAUAUCCGCCCGAGGAUGGGGCUGCGGCCCAUCAGGCUGUUGGCGGGGUAAUGACCCGUCAAACCUAUAACGGGUAGGGGCCGUGGGAGCGGGAGCCCCCAGUUGGGCACUGAGACAAGGGCCCAGGCCCUACGGGGUGCACCAGGCGCGCAACGUCCCCAAUGCGCGCAAGCGUGAGGGCGCUACCCCGAGUGCCUCCUUUUGGAGGCUUUUCUCCGCUCUAAAAAGGCGGAGGAAUAAGCGGGGGGCAAGUCUGGUGUCAGCCGCCGCGGUAACACCAGCUCCGCGAGUGGUCGGGACGUUUACUGGGCCUAAAGCGCCUGUAGCCGGCUCACUAAGUUGCUCCUUAAAGCCCCGGGCUCAACCCGGGGACUGGGAGCAAUACUAGUGAGCUAGGGGGCGGGAGAGGCCCAGGGUUCUCCCGGGAGAAGGGCGAAAUCCGGAAGUCCUGGGGAGGACCCCCGGGGCGGAAGGCCCCGGGUUAGAACGCGCCGAACGGGAAGAGGGAAAAGCCGGGGCACCAAACAGGAUUAGAUACCUUGGUAGUCCCGGCUGUAAACGAUGCGGGCUAGGUGUCACGUGGGUUUAGAGCUCACGUGGUGCCGCAAGGAACCCGUUAAGCCCGCCGCCUGGGGAGUACGGUCGCAAGACUGAAACUUAAAGGAAUUUGGCGGGGGGAGCACCACAAGGGGGUGGAAACCUGCGGCUCAAUUGGAGUCAACGCCUGGAAUCUUACCGGGGGAGACCGCAGUAUGACGGCCAGGCUUACGACCUUGCCUGACUCGCGGAGAGGAGGUGCAUGGCCGUCGCCAGCUCGUGUUGUGAAAUGUCCUGUUAAGUCAGGCAACGAGCGAGACCCA
rnacentral:rRNA from 1 species